rnacentral:lncRNA from 1 species
GGCGCUAAAUGUUGGUGCCAUUCCUACUUGGUUUGGAUUUUUCAUAUGGCAUAAGAAGUUUGAAUUUGAUUCAAAUUAAUUAAAUCUGAUCUUCAAGUGGGAUUUAAAAUUUGAGAGUCCUAAUUAGAUUAGGACUAAGGGUUUUAAAUGCCUAUACAAGGAGGGCUAUGGACAUGGUGCAGCGAUAAGAAAGAAGAAGGCUGCAUAGGGUG